UCCGAAAUGCAUUUAGGUGCAGCGUUACGUGUUUCUUACCGGAGGUAGAGCUACUGGAUGGUCGAGGGGCCCUACAAGGUUACCAACAUCAGCCAAACUCCGAAUGCCGGUAAGUGAGAACGUAGCAGUGAGACAGUGGGGGAUAAUCUUCAUUGUCGAGAGGGAAACAACCCAGAGUAGCAACUAAGGUCCCAAAGCGUGUGCUAAGUGGAAAAGGAUGUGAAGUCGCAUAGACAACCAGGAGGUUGGCUUAGAAGCAGCCACCCUUAAAAAAGUGCGUAAUAGCUUACUGGUCAAGUGAUUUCGCGCCGACAAUGUAACGGGGCUCAAGCACACCACCGAAGUUCUAUCAUUCACACACUAUCCCGGUCGUAAGAUCCAGGAGUGUGGAUGGGUAGGAGAGCGUCGUGUAGCUGGCGAAGCGGCGGAGGAAUCCAGCCGUGGAAGCUACACGAGUGAGAAUGUAGACAUGAGUAGCGAGAGUUGGGUGAGAAACCCAACCGCCGAAAGACCAAGGGUUCCUGGGCCAGGCUAAUCCGCCCAGGGUAAGUCGGGACCUAAGACGAGGCCGUCAGGCGUAGUCGAUGGACAACGGGUUGAUAUUCCCGUACCCGCGUAAGUUCGUCCCUGACGAACCUCCUAAUGCUAAGUUUUCGAAGCGUUAUUGGCGUAAGUCGAUGGCGUGGAGGGAACGACCCGGUGGAGUAGUAGUCAAGCAAUGGUGUGACACAGGAAGGUAGUCCAGCCCGGGCGAUGGUUGUCCCGGGGUAAGAGUGUAGGGAGUUAUGUAGGCAAAUCCGCAUAACGUUUAACUGAGACUUGAUGCCGAGCCGAAUGGCGAAGUGGAUGAUCCUAUGCUGUCAAGAAAAGCAUCUAGCGAGAACUUAAGUGGCCCGUACCCGAAACCGACACAGGUGGUCAGGUAGAGAAUACCAAGGCGAUCGAGAGAAUCGUGGAUAAGGAACUCGGCAAAAUACCCCCGUAACUUCGGGAGAAGGGGGGCCAAUUUACGUGUAGGAGUUUUCCUCCGAAGCGUGAGUCGGCCGCAGAGACUAGGCUCAAGCGACUGUUUACCAAAAACACAG
rnacentral:rRNA from 1 species